rnacentral:rRNA from 1 species
UACGUAGGGUGCGAGCGUUGUCCGGAAUUAUUGGGCGUAAAGAGCUCGUAGGCGGUGUGUCACGUCGGCCGUGAAAACCUGCAGCUUAACUGUGGGCGUGCGGUCGAUACGGGCAUCACUGGAGUUCGGCAGGGGAGACUGGAAUUCCUGGUGUAGCGGUGAAAUGCGCAGAUAUCAGGAGGAACACCGGUGGCGAAGGCGGGUCUCUGGGCCGUAACUGACGCUGAGGUGCGAGAGCGUGGGGAGCGAACCGG